CAAGUGACCCCGGUCUAACCACCGGGAUGUUCAUAACCCUUUGUUGUCCGACUCUGUUGCCUCCGGGGCGACCCUGCCUUCGGACGGGGGCUCCGGGUGGACACUUCAAACUCUUGCGUAACUUUGCAGUCUGAGUAAACUUAAUUAAUAAAUUA
rnacentral:misc_RNA from 1 species